UCUUGAUAGGAGACGUGACUCUCUCUCCUCAGAUAGCACUGCUGGGGUAUAUUCUGGAGAGAACAUUGUUUUCCUGAGAAAGUCAUCAGCACAACUGAAAAUGUGAAAUGAAAUUCAGUACAUGGAAUCGUUUGAAAGCUGAUGCAUUCCAAGUCACAGCUGCCUUGGUGCUAAAACCUCGGUCUAUUUGCCUACCUGAGAACAGAACUUCUGACCCAUUCAGAGCUUUCGAACAUUGCAAGAAAGAAAUAUGAUGGAAAAAUAUGAAUAUUUUAGAUGAGAAAAUAUGACUGAAUGUGGGAUCUAAAAUGGACAGCUAACAUCAAAAACGUCAUCAAAAAAGCACAACAAAGAAUGUUCUUUCUGCACCAACUCAGAAAGCUCAAACUGCCCAAGGAGCUGCUGAUUCAGUUCUACAGAGGAAUUAUUGAGUCUGCCAUCUGCACCUCUCUGUCUGGUUUGGUUCUGCAACCCAACAAGACAGACACAGACUUCAGAGG